UACAGAGGGUGCGAGCGUUAAUCGGAAUUACUGGGCGUAAAGCGUGCGUAGACGGUUAUUUAAGUCGGGUGUGAAAGCCCCGGGCUCAACCUGGGAAUUGCAUUUGAGACUGCGUAGCUAGGGUGCGGAAGAGGGAAGCGGAAUUUCCGGUGUAGCGGUGAAAUGCGUAGAUAUCGGAAGGAACACCAGUGGCGAAAGCGGCUUCCUGGUCCAGCACCGACGUUCAGGCACGAAAGCGUGGGGAGCAAACAGG
rnacentral:rRNA from 1 species